AACGAACGCUGGCGGCAGGCCUAACACAUGCAAGUCGAGCGAAGCCUUCGGGCUUAGCGGCGGACGGGUGAGUAACGCGUGGGAACGUGCCCUUUGCUACGGAAUAGCCCCGGGAAACUGGGAGUAAUACCGUAUGUGCCCUUCGGGGGAAAGAUUUAUCGGCAAAGGAUCGGCCCGCGUUGGAUUAGGUAGUUGGUGGGGUAGUGGCCUACCAAGCCGACGAUCCGUAGCUGGUUUGAGAGGAUGAUCAGCCACACUGGGACUGAGACACGGCCCAGACUCCUACGGGAGGCAGCAGUGGGGAAUCUUAGACAAUGGGGGAAACCCUGAUCUAGCCAUGCCGCGUGAUCGAUGAAGGCCUUAGGGUUGUAAAGAUCUUUCAGUGGGGAAGAUAAUGACUGUACCCACAGAAGAAGCCCCGGCUAACUCCGUGCCAGCCGCCGCCGUAAUAC
rnacentral:rRNA from 1 species